rnacentral:rRNA from 1 species
AUAACUUCGGGAAACCGGAGCUAAUACCGGAUAAUAUAUACCUCCGCAUGGAGGAAUAGUCAAAGACGGUUCUGCUGUCACUUAUAGAUGGACCCGCGGUGUAUUAGCUAGUUGGUGAGGUAACGGCUCACCAAGGCAACGAUACAUAGCCGACCUGAGAGGGUGAUCGGCCACACUGGGACUGAGACACGGCCCAGACUCCUACGGGAGGCAGCAGUAGGGAAUCUUCCGCAAUGGACGAAAGUCUGACGGAGCAACGCCGCGUGAGUGAAGAAGGUUUUCGGAUCGUAAAACUCUGUUGUAAGGGAAGAACAAGUACGUUAGUAACUG